GCUAUACAUGCAGUCGACGGUAACAUUGGUGCUUGCACCAGAUGACGAGUGGCGCACGGGUGCGUAACGCGUAUGCAAUCUACCUUUUACUAGAGUAUAGCCCAGAGAAAUUUGGAUUAAUCCUCUAUAAUAUCUUUUAAUUUCAUGAUUUUAAGAUUAAAGUUUUAACGGUAAAAGAUGAGCAUGCGUCCUAUUAGUUUGUAGGUGAGGUAACGGCUCACCUAGACUACGAUAGGUAGGGGCCCUGAGAGGGGGAUCCCCCACACUGGUACUGAGACACGGACCAGACUCCUACGGGAGGCAGCAGUAAGGAAUAUUGGACAAUGGACGAAAGUCUGAUCCAGCCAUGCCGCGUGCAGGAUGAAAGCCCUACGGGUUGUAAACUGCUUUUAUACAGGAAGAAACACUCCGACGUGUCGGAGCUUGACGGUACUGUAAGAAUAAGGAUCGGCUAACUCCGUGCCAGCCGCCGGGGGU
rnacentral:rRNA from 1 species